rnacentral:rRNA from 1 species
UACGUAGGGCGCAAGCGUUGUCCGGAAUUAUUGGGCAUAAAGAGCUCGUAGGCGGCUUGUCACGUCGGGUGUGAAAGCCCGGGGCUUAACCCCGGGUCUGCAUUCGAUACGGGCAGGCUAGAGUGUGGUAGGGGAGAUCGGAAUUCCUGGUGUAGCGGUGAAAUGCGCAGAUAUCAGGAGGAACACCGGUGGCGAAGGCGGAUCUCUGGGACGGUACUGACGCUGAGACGCGAAAGCGUGGGGAGCAAACAGG